ACAGGGCUACUCCGGCUGAUUGACGUGCCAGCCGGCCAAUGGUGCGCGCGCUCAGGCGGGCGGGCGGGGUUACCUGCUCCAAGGUGUGCCGGGAGGGGUGCGGGGAAGAUCCUGAGGGCAGAGCUGGGGAGCCGUGAGGGAGAGCGCGGUGGGCACGGUCCCUUGGAGGCACUAGAUAUGCCAGGAGUGUCCAGAUUGUGGGUCUGCUGAUCUUCAGGCACAGAGCAGUGGUGGCACCCAGCUCACAACCAGAUGUCAAGCAGAGGGAAAUAAGCACAAGAAUAACCCAGGAAGAGGCAGAGUCUGGGAAAAGCCUCCAGCUUCCCGCGCCCGUGCGGAAAGCAUCCUCCUCCGCUUUGCAGCGCCGCUCCCGGGGCCGGUGCAGGGGCUCGGCCGGGC